AUGCUCCUACCCAGUCUCGACCUCAAAACUGGCCCAACGAGAAAAGAGAAACUACAUCACACAAAACAUUACUUUUCUUCCAUUUUUCACGCUUCCAAUGCUCUUCCUUUCUUUCUUUCUUCCAUCCUUUCUCUCUCUUCAUUCUUUUCUUUGAUCCAUUUUCUUCACCAGGAUUGGUCAAUUGAUCAAUGCUGUUUUGGUUUCUUCUGGUGA